rnacentral:rRNA from 1 species
UACGGAGGGUGCAAACGUUGCUCGGAAUUAUUGGGCGUAAAGCGCACGUAGGCGGCCUAGCAAGUCGGGUGUGAAAUCCCUCGGCUUAACCGAGGAAGUGCAUUCGAAACUACUGGGCUUGAAUACUGAAGAGGGUCUCGGAAUUCCCGGUGUAGAGGUGAAAUUCGUAGAUAUCGGGAGGAACACCAGUGGCGAAGGCGGCUCACUGGCCCGAUACUGACGCUGAGGCACGAAAGCGUGGGGAGCAAACAGG